UGUCAAUCUGGGGGUGCGGGGGGAUCAGCAGGGCCCCUCCCACUGUACCCCGCCUCCCUCAUCCAGACCCCCUCGCUGGCCCCUAAGCCUGCACCUGGUCCUGAAGUGUCUCCUGCCCUUCCUAGCCCACCAAGCUGCAGACACACCAGCCCCAUGUCCUCCCAGCAGCCCUGAGGCCCAGGGUCCCCACCUCCGGGCUUCCUCCCCAGGCUGGGGGAGGACCAUGGGUCCUGGGGGGACAGAAGACAGGGAUACAGGUGACUCCACGUGUCAGGACACGUGCAGCCGUGCUCUGUGAGCUGAAAGCCAGGAGCUAUGAGUGUCAAGCCCACCCAGCACCCUGGCCACGGUCCCCAAUAUUCAGUGAGGACCCAGGGCAUCCUGGAAAAGGGGCUGAUUCCCGGGCCAGGGCAGGGAAUGCAGGAGGAGCCUGGAGCGCCCUACAGUGCCAGGAAGUCAGGAUGUGGCCCCAGAAUGAAAAGUCUGUUGAUGGGGGCACGUCAGGGGACCCAGCAGCCGACGGCAAGAGCUCCCCAGGGCCAAGGACGGACAGUGUGAUUUACAAAACAAAGCAGUGUUGUGUUCUAGCUCAGAGUGCAGCCUCAAUAGCCGUGACUUCAUCCCAGUAUAAACAAAUGGCUGAAUAUAUAAAUGAGUGACCAAGAAGAGGCCGUUCUACAGAGCAGAACCCCACGGCGAAGAAGAGGAUGGCAAUGGUGGCCUCCAGCAGGAACACCAGUAGCAGCAGCAGGAAGAACUGUGGAGGGGGCAGGCUCAGACAGGGACCUGCCAGGCCCCACGGCCUCCACCCCAUAGCAUGCCAGGGGCCAGGGCCACACACCUCAUGGAUACCUGGUGCUGCCAGGAAACCCCUGCCAGGCCCCCAAUCCGAGACCCCAGAAUGCCACCCCCACCUCAGAACCCUCAACCUCGGCCCCAGGUCCAGGGACUGUGACUGUCGUGUCCUGUUCAGCCCCUGAGUGUAGGGCCCCAGGCUGGCCUGGGCUCCCCUCCCCUGUCCCCAUCCCUGGGGCAACCCAGACACCCCCAAGUGGGCACAAGUCCCUGUUCCCGAGGCUCUAGCCCCUGUCAGCUGGCUUCAGACACCUCCAUCCGGGGGCCUGUGAGUGUCUGGCGAGUGCCUCGCGGGGUGCCUGUCACACCUGGGCUGCAGAGGCCCCUUCCACUCCCAUGUCACAGCCCUCAGGGCAGCCAGGGUGGCUGAUGCCCCCUCCAGCAAGACCACAGGCUGCAAGCCCCACCUCUGACCAUACAAGCUUCCCCCUCCUGGCGGCAGCCCUGAAGCUCAGCCUGACCCCAGCCCUGCUGCUCCUCCAUACAGAGGUCACUGACACCCGCAAGAGGAGGGGCCAGUGUCCUGUCAAGAGAGGCUCCUGACAAGCUACAGCAUGUUCUCGAGUGACCCCCGCCUCCGCCCCUACUCCACAAAUCAGCCCCCAGCCCCAAUGCAGCCUGGAAGACCCAACAGUGGCCACAUUCCCACCCUGGAGGUCAGGCCCCAGAGGUGGUGCCCACAUCUGGAGGUCCCUGCAGCAGACAAGGCCUGGGGACCACCGGAGCCCCACCCUGCAUCGUCCCACCCGGAGCAUCACCUGGACCCCGGCACUCACAGCG